AUUGAACGCUGGCGGCAUGCCUUACACAUGCAAGUCGAACGGCAGCACGGGGCAACCUGGUGGCGAGUGGCGAACGGGUGAGUAAUGCAUCGGAACGUACCUUUCAGUGGGGGAUAACGUAGCGAAAGUUACGCUAAUACCGCAUAUUCUGUGAGCAGGAAAGCAGGGGAUCGCAAGACCUUGCGCUGAUUGAGCGGCCGAUGUCAGAUUAGCUAGUUGGUGAGGUAAAGGCUCACCAAGGCGACGAUCUGUAGCGGGUCUGAGAGGAUGAGCCGCCACACUGGAACUGAGACACGGUCCAGACUCCUACGGGAGGCAGCAGUGGGGAAUUUUGGACAAUGGGGGCAACCCUGCUCCAGCCAUGCCGCGUGAGUGAAGAAGGCCUUCGGGUUGUAAAGCUCUUUCGGCCGGGAAGAAAUCGCACGGGCUAAUACCCUGUGUGGAUGACGGUACCGGAAUAAGAAGCACCGGCUAACUACGUGCCAGCCGCCGCCGUAAUAC
rnacentral:rRNA from 1 species